AUACGGAGGAUGCGAGCGUUAUCCGGAUUUAUUGGGUUUAAAGGGAGCGUAGGCGGGAGCUUAAGUCAGCGGUUAAAUGGUGCGGCUCAACCGUGCCCUGCCGUUGAAACUGGGUUUCUUGAGAGUGCAAGAGGCGGAUGGAAUUCAUGGUGUAGCGGUGAAAUGCUUAGAUAUCAUGAAGAACUCCGAUUGCGAAGGCAGUCCGCUGGGGCACGUCUGACGCUGAUGCUCGAAGGUGCGGGAAUCAAACAUGAUUAGAUACCCUGGUAGUCCGCACGGUAAACGAUGAUUACCCGCUGUCGGCGGUAGACAGUCGGCGGCCAAGCGAAAGCGAUAAGUAAUCCACCUGGGGAGUACGCCGGCAACGGUGAAACUCAAAGGAAUUGACGGGA
rnacentral:rRNA from 1 species